rnacentral:lncRNA from 1 species
GUGAUUAUUUAUUUGAAAACAUUUAAAAACCAGUCUUGUGUAAGAAACAACAAAUGCCAAAUGUUGCUACUCGCAUCUUUGUCCCAAUGAGAGCGCGAAGCUGGGUGAAUAUUCCACAUCACUACUGACCUCUAAAGAGGCAAGACACAUAAUGUUAAUUGAUAGAGACUUAACUUGUUCAAACCUGUUCUAAAUAAAGAAAAAUUAUUCACAAUGCUCAAGUGGUACCAAUCAUUUCACGGGUACUAAGUCAGCUGUAAGGUAAGUCAGGUGGUAAAUAUCACAAGUGAACGAGGCAGGACUUAGUAAAUCAGCUGUAAGGUAAGUCAGGUGGUAAGUAUCACAAGUGAACGAGGCAGGACUAGGCAGCUUUGCAACCUACCGAUUAGCCACUUUUUCCAAAGCUCAGUGGACAAAAGUGUGUUGCGGUAUAAGCUGUAUGGAAGGAAUGCUGGUCAAGGAAAUAGCUUUACAGGGUGGAAAGUCUACUUCGAAAACAGUGCUGUCUGCAGUGGGGACCCCAGCGGAAGCAGACAAAGCAAAGACUUACCAAGGGUUUCAACAUGGUUCACAGUACUCAAGCUUUGUCCAGCUUUCCGUCAUAUUCCAGUUGUGAAGGUGCACUGCGUACUCUCCUGUUGGCUCUGAUAAACACCAUGGCUGAGAGAGAGAGAGAGAGAGAGAGAGAGAGAGAGAGAGAGAGAGAGAGAGAGAGAGAGAGAGAGAGAGAGAGAGAGAAGAGAGAGAGAGGAGAGAGAGACAGAGAGAGAGAGAAGAGAGAGUGCAUGCGCCAGCCCAUAUGGUACGGGAGUCAUGGCAACAAGGAGCCAGAGCAGGAAGCCGAGAGGUCACAUCUUCAACAGCCAACGUGAAGCACAGAGAGCAACUCCAAGUGGGGCAAAUCGAUAAACUCUCAAAAGUCCACCCCCAGGGACAUGCAUACUCCAGCAAGGCUGCACCUGCUAAAGCCUCCAUAAUGUCAGCCAAAUAGUGGCACGAAGUGCAGAUCAAGUGUUCAGAUACUAGAGUCUGCAUGUGUGUGCAUUUCUCAUUUAAACAUCCACACAGAGAAAGUCUUUUCUUGGAAAAGCCACCAGCACACCUGGACCAUGGCACAGAGGUCUACUACAGCUCCAUCUUGUCUUUUCAGGCACUGCGAUGGGGCCUGGCUGCUCUGUGAUUCCAGUGUGCAGCUGGUCUGUUGCUAUGCUCUCCCCGUGAAGAGGAGUCUGAAAAUGACUCAGACCACCACAUAGUGUGAUUUACAGAAUGCCAAUAGGUACCAAGGGGAAAAAGAAAAAAAAAAAAACACACCAAUGAGGGGCUGUGUGAAGGCUGAUGGAAUUCCUGUCUCACCCAAGAGAAUCAGAAACUAUUUGAGUUUUCUCUGGCCUGUAACAAAAGGUAAGCAUCCUUUUGGAUUCUGCGGGAUACGACAGGUUCAAGUCUGUUAACAGCCCCACUCUUGUAGGAACUCACUAUGAACCUUGGCCUUGAAAGUAAGGGUGAGGAGCUUUGGGCCAGAUGAAGCUGACUAUGUAAUCAACCCCAGCUAUUCAACUUCCAAAUUACACUAGGCAUAACCAUCAGGAAACAGAAGCUGUUAGGCAGUAUGGGAGUGGAGAGCAGAGGACCACUGUGUACUGUGCACUUGGCCUUAAGGGAUGUCCUCAUUAGAAGCAGGAGCAGCCACUGGGGUUACUGUCAACUGAUAGGGAGGGGCCUCUUCUACCUCAGCUUUAGGGAAUGGGUUUUUCUUCUAUGCUUUGCAGUCUGUGGAAACCCUGCCUGCUGCGUUCCAGUCAAACAUAGCAUCUUUGGAAAUCCUUUGUCUCCUUCUAAUCUCCAUACAAACUACGGAAAUGUACUAAACCCUGCUACUCCUAACCGUGGUUGGGGAAGGUGGGGGAGUUACUGCUUAAGCCCAGCAUGGGCUCCGCUGACCUGGUCUGCUGACUUACAGAGUUUCUUUCUUCCUAGAGUGCAUACUUGCUCAGAACGAGCUGCUGCAACCCAGUUAGAGCCAUGAAGAAAGAAACUCUAAAUUCUUAGUUGGCUCAGACCAAAGAGCUUGCUCCAGUUUGUUCUAGGAAUAACAAUGGAUUGGGAGGCAUUUUACACAGCCACACAGCUAGCACAGGCGCUCUGGAGUUGUCUGUAAUUCUGGAAAACAGGGUUUUGCACAUCUAGUAUGAUGCCAUCAAGAAAGGGCUUGGUGGGUAGUCAGGGUCUCUUCUGCUGCCUGCUGCUGUUACAAUCCAUCACUGUUAAAACUGAAACCCAUACAAUGGAGCCUGAGAAUCACCUGCACUCCUAGCCGCCUGACAUAACUGCUUCUCACAGAAUCUAGGCCAUGAGCCUCUCUUUGUCUGGAACAGUAAACUUCUCUCUCAAUGGUAUUCAUUGUUAGCUGCCAUUUAUAAAUCGACACCCAGUACAGUUCAGAGAGAACGUGGUACUUUUAACUGUUGUGCUACUGAAAUUGUCCAAUAACCAAGAAUCCCCUAAAAGUACCCAGUGACUACUGGUCUGCUCCCAACAGUGCAAUGUGUAACAGAGAACGUGACAAUCAUGCCACGUUCUCUUCGGCACUGAAUCCCAAAAACUUGUGUUGUUCUCCUUAGCAUCACUGCCAUGGGGGCUUUUACGUAAGAACACUGAGGGGAAAAAAGAGGUGGACAGAACCAGGAAGAGCAGCAUAAUGGUUCUGAACUCGGUAAGUUAUAAAAGCUAACACGUCAGCAGGUAGGAGAAAACCUCCCCAACACUAACUCAGCACAGACAAAACUUCCAGUAGAGUCGUGGAGAAGCUAUGUUCACACUGGAUAGACACUUCCGUACAGAAACAGUAACAAUACCAAUUCCUACUUUUUCCCCCCCAAAAAGAAAAAGAAUAAUUCAAAACCCAUUAACUGCCAUGAGCAAACUCUAGUCAAGGAUUUCUGUCACAAGAGUUACAGUUUUAAGUGGUCAGAUGAUGUCAUAAAUGCUAAAUAGAGUUGAACUCUUAAUGCGUGGAAUGUCUUGCUCAAAAGGGCUUUUAUCCCCUCUCAAGGGUGAAGUCAAAGGUUCAUAGUAAAUGAGAUGCGUGUUUUUAUUCAAAGUCCCAUGGUGAAGCUGAGUUUCAGUUACUGAAAAGAACAAUAAAAUCAACAUUGCUCUGAUCUUACGGCUUUCUAAUAAAAUGCCUGAUGGGUUGAUAAGCCAUCAACAUUUUGUAUCAUAAAAUAUACAUUUAAAUUAAACCCACACACCUUGAAUGAAGAAAGCAGAAGGUGCCGCUGAGAUCAGCUCAGCAGGGUAUUGUCAGUCAGAUGCACAUCUUACAGACUAAGUAGCAGGCUGUCCGCACCAGCUGCUCAGGCGGCGGCAAGAAUGUCUGGGUUAUUCCAAAUGACAUUCCCAACAUGCACUGGAGGUUGGGAGUUGCACUUAUCAUUAUCUGAUGGAAAUUCCCCAGUUGAAUAAAGAUAAAACUUUGUUUACAAUGCGUUUGGCUGUAAGUUUGACAUCCCAAUGGACACACAUCUCUUAACUCAUUUUUGACUACCCUUCUGGAGUGUUUAUGAAUAUAUAUUCUCAAAAUACUGGCAAUCCUCAGACUUUUCUAUAUGUAAGAUACAUCUUCUUGUAGUUUUACAUUCAUUUAAUUACAACAUGCAAUUUACAACACCCGGGGUUACAGCAGGACACGAAACACAAACACGGCUCUGCCCGGUAAUAACUUAAUUCUUCGGUAAGGGCUGGAUAGUGAUUCAGUUCAUUAAUUUUGCAAACAAGUUCACGGCGACACACAGAACCCAAGUCCAGUUUUGGCUUGCUUAUAUCUUAAUAUGUCUGUUCCCACUCACUGUCUAAACACUGGCACUCGCAUUGUCCACCUAUCACAUCGAGAUACUAGCUAGGAUUGUAUCACCUUUGAUACCGAAGUCACAUGUCACCCAUGUGAACGUCCCAUACUGUAGCAAGCUGUAGUCCUGAAGCAUCUGCUCGGAAGAGAUUCUCAAGGAUUUCUCACCUGUACCGUCUACUUGAACUUCAGUCGAAUCUUGCACAGUGUCCAAGUCUAGCAGAUAGACUUCUACUGCAUGAGAAAUUCAGUAUUUGGCAAAUGUCCCACUUACCACCACAUUGACAAGAUUUUACAAAGUGCGCCGAAGAGGACGGGUAUUUGUCAGUUUCUGGAACUCAAAAACACUGGGGCUUCCGGCAACCUUAAUCUAGAGGAAAAUCAAUUAUCUCUCUGUGUGUUGUUAGCCAUUUCUUGGCGACUAUUCAGCUUACGUGUAAUGAUGACUAAUAUUCGUCGAAUGGCCAGAAGACGCUCUUUCAGGGAGGCCAUGCCGAGAAUGGCCAGUUGAGCCUUGCGUUCCAAGGGCAACACGGCCAGAAUCCACCAGGACCAGGCAGGGCCACUAGAAUUGCUCUGUGAAAGACACAAGGGGAGAAAUUAAUUAAUGCCUACAACACAGGCCAUUUCCAAACUCAGCCUUUUGUUUAACCAACAAAUAUGGGCAAGAACCCCACCUUCUGUUGUAGGGCUAGGUCACCAUUCAUCAGACCCUCAAAAUGCAGAGUUCCUGUUGAAUACUAGUCACAUGUUUUAAGGUGCCAGGUAAGGACACAAAGGAAGAACUUGUUCAGGGAAACUCCAAUGAAUUAGCUGCCUCUGCUCUCCCAAG